UACAGAGGUCCCAAGCGUUAUCCGGAUUUAUUGGGCGUAAAGCGUCCGUAGGUGGUUAAUCAAGUCUAUUGUCAAAGCCUGGGGCUUAACCCUGGAGAGGCGGUGGAAACUGGUUGACUUGAGUGCGGUAGGGGCAGAGGGAAUUCCCAGUGUAGCGGUGAAAUGCGUAGAUAUUGGGAAGAACACCGGUGGCGAAAGCGCUCUGCUGGGCCUGCACUGACACUGAGGGACGAAAGCUAGGGGAGCGAAAGGG
rnacentral:rRNA from 1 species